rnacentral:misc_RNA from 1 species
AUGUCAUUAAGCACCAACUUUAAAUUUUCUUUUACCCGCCACUGUAUAUAGGUAACCGUUUCCACCAAAAGCUAAUACCAACCUAAUUAGUGCUAUAACUGCUUACUACUGUAAUUACUUUGUCUUUGCAAUUGUUAUUAGCUAUUCGCUGCUGCAGUACUGUAUUUACAUAGAAAAUAUCGAACAUUAGCAUUUAAUAGUGCUUGACUAUAAAUACCAUUUAAAUAGGAAUCGCAGUCCAUGCUAUGACUAUUACCGUAUCAUGAAACAACGAAUUAACAACGCUGCUACCGUUUUCAAGUUCGCCUUCCGUAAAAUGUUGGGAACCUUUUUUGCAGAAAUGAGACUACGAAGUACUUCGUCGGAAUCAAAAGGGCAAACUUUUUUGAGAAAUUAGAAUAUGAUUGGAUAGGAGAGAUCUGGAAAACUUUGCCAGAGAUAAUCACAAUUGACCAAUUGGUGUUUUCAGUGCAAGUGUUCAUUAUGAGGAAGAAUAUUCAUUGAUCUGUUUUAAGAAACGUGUAUUUAAGCGAAAUUCGUUAAUUCGUGUUGUUGAUACUUUGCUGCUCUGAAAAUUAGAAUUGCAAAUGAUUAAGAAUGUAGCGAAAUACGCUUUCCAAUAAAACCAUUGAAAAGAGUGUUUGAUUUGAUUAAUUCGUGUAAGUAACUUUAUUGUAAUAGUUAAAGAGAAAAUAUACUGUAUGUCGGCAACAUGUAGCUUUAAACAAGAAAGAUAAUUAAUGUGGCAUCGCUGCAACAUAUACAUGUAUUAUUUAUACCAUUAAUUCCUCGAAUAUACUCCUAUUAAUGAGGUUUUUCAAAGAUUAUGUUUAAAGAAAAGAGAUUAAUGGUUUUAAUUUUCUAAACAUAAUGAAACUAACAGGCGAUAAACAUGUUAUUACAAGGAAAAAGGUGAUUAACGGUAGCGGUUGCUGUUUCGAGUCGAGUGAUUGCUAAACGAAAUUUGUAACGAUUCGUUUAAUCAUU